rnacentral:rRNA from 1 species
GACGAACGCUGGCGGCGUGCUUAACACAUGCAAGUCGAACGGAAAGGCCCUGCUUUUGCGGGGUGCUCGAGUGGCGAACGGGUGAGUAACACGUGAGUAACCUGCCCUUGACUUUGGGUUAACUUCAGGAAACUGGGGCUAAUACCGGAUAGGAGCUCCUGCAGCAUGGUGGGGGUUGGAAAGUUUCGGCGGUUGGGGAUGGACUCGCGGCUUAUCAGCUUGUUGGUGGGGUAGUGGCUUACCAAGGCUUUGACGGGUAGCCGGCCUGAGAGGGUGACCGGCCACAUUGGGACUGAGAUACGGCCCAGACUCCUACGGGAGGCAGCAGUGGGGAAUAUUGCACAAUGGGCGGAAGCCUGAUGCAGCAACGCCGCGUGCGGGAUGACGGCCUUCGGGUUGUAAACCGCUUUCGCCUGUGAUGAAGCGUGAGUGACGGUAAUGGGUAAAGAAGCACCGGCUAACUACGUGCCAGCAGCCGCGGUGAUACGUAGGGUGCGAGCGUUGUCCGGAUUUAUUGGGCGUAAAGGGCUCGUAGGUGGUUGAUCGCGUCGGAAGUGUAAUCUUGGGGCUUAACCCUGAGCGUGCUUUCGAUACGGGUUGACUUGAGGAAGGUAGGGGAGAAUGGAAUUCCUGGUGGAGCGGUGGAAUGCGCAGAUAUCAGGAGGAACACCAGUGGCGAAGGCGGUUCUCUGGGCCUUUCCUGACGCUGAGGAGCGAAAGCGUGGGGAGCGAACAGGCUUAGAUACCCUGGUAGUCCACGCUGUAAACGGUGGGUACUAGGUGUGGGGUCCAUUCCACGGGUUCCGUGCCGUAGCUAACGCUUUAAGUACCCCGCCUGGGGAGUACGGCCGCAAGGCUAAAACUCAAAGGAAUUGACGGGGCCCCGCACAAGCGGCGGAGCAUGCGGAUUAAUUCGAUGCAACGCGUAGAACCUUACCUGGGUUUGACAUGGAUCGGGAGUGCUCAGAGAUGGGUGUGCCUCUUUUGGGGUCGGUUCACAGGUGGUGCAUGGCUGUCGUCAGCUCGUGUCGUGAGAUGUUGGGUUAAGUCCCGCAACGAGCGCAACCCUUGUUCACUGUUGCCAGCACGUUAUGGUGGGGACUCAGUGGAGACCGCCGGGGUCAACUCGGAGGAAGGUGGGGAUGACGUCAAGUCAUCAUGCCCCUUAUGUCCAGGGCUUCACGCAUGCUACAAUGGCUGGUACAGAGAGUGGCGAGCCUGUGAGGGUGAGCGAAUCUCGGAAAGCCGGUCUCAGUUCGGAUUGGGGUCUGCAACUCGACCUCAUGAAGUCGGAGUCGCUAGUAAUCGCAGAUCAGCAACGCUGCGGUGAAUACGUUCCCGGG